GGGGUUGGCUCAGCUGGUCAGAGCAUGGUGCUAACCCAGCCAAGGUUGUGGGUUCAAUCCCUGUAUGAGCCA